CCGCCGUCGACGCCAUUUUGCCACCGCCUCCGUACAAAUUGCGUUGCGCUUGCCCAGUGUCUCUGAGGAGGGCCGGAGCCAGGGACAGUCCUAAGAGGGUUGUGCUCUCGGGCACCAGGCAGCGGACACUGGGGUCGCUGUCUUGGUGGCGGUCGAGGAUAAUAGGAAAGCAAACGCCUGCAGGCUUCGAGAAAGAGGAGAAACAGUGUGGAGGGAGCUGCCUGAGAGGGUGGAAAGGGAAGGCGUUUCGGAGAUGGGCCCUGGAGCGGAUAGGUGCGGCUCAGCUGUGCAGACGCCGAGGAAAAGCAGCACUACCGAGGCGGAAGCGGUCCGCGAGCGCUUCGAGGCCGAGACUGGAAAGGAACGGGAAGGCCGGGUGCCCGCGUGGAGCGGGAUGAGAAGGGCUCGAGAGAAGAACGGGUUUUAGGGUGGCCAGAGUGGCCGCGCGGGAGCCAUUCAGGACGACAUGGCUGUACUCCCGGUGCGCGGUGGUGAUGGCAGGGGACCCGGGGAGACACGCAUGGAUAAGGAGACGGGUGUUGGAGGCCGACUCGCGGAGUCGGUUAGGAGUCAGACUUGUCUGGUUUGGAAUUCUGCGUCUCCCAGUUGUAGAGACUCUGUCUUCCAGGGCAGAUUGUUCUCAGUGGACUCACCUGUAAAGUAGGGAGGAUACUAAUAAUGCUGUAUAUACUUGUUGUAAGGAUUCAGUAGAAUAGUUCACGUAGAGGGUGUUCUGUAAGGAUGCUGCCUGGCUGAUAGUGCAGGCUCAAUGCGGAUAGCUACAUGGAGGACCUUGGAGUGGAUGGGCUCCCAAGUUGUGACAUGAACCACUUAGGGGAUGGUGGUACCGUUUACGGAGAUGGGAGCACUGGGAUUUCCGGGAGGAGGAACAAGUUUGGGAAGGAAAUUUAAAAUCCUGUUUUGAUGGAGGUGCCAAGCUAGCAUGCCGAUGCGUACAUUUAGUGCUGCAGUUAGGUGAACUUGAUUUUGGAGCUUAAAGAGAAUGGACUGAAUUGUCAAUAUAUGUUUGGGCAUCAUUAGCAUAUAAUUGAUAUUAAAUAUUAUGGAGUGAGCUGAGACUCCAUACCUAGGGAGGAAGAAAUUUGAUAGGGUAGUCCUUCAUAUUUAAUGUUACUCAUUCACCCUGAAGGCUUGUUUUUUUGUUUUGUUUUUUAAUUAUUCAGGGGUGGAAUUUAUAGAUAGAUAUCUCCCCAGGGUUCGUCUGUUAUUACAGAAUAAACAGGUUUAUACUAGGGUCCAGUUUGAUGACAUUAGAUUUAGGUGCUAAGAAAAUGCACUGAACAUUAAAAAGUAGUGGGGUUCUCAAAGCAAACUAAAUUCAUACCAUAUUUUCUCUAGUUCUAAAUUUGGUCUCAUAUCUUGCUUAUAAUUUAGACGCAUAUUUUAGUCUUAGAGUCUUCAUAAUUUUGGGUAUUUUAUUAACUGGGAAGUUGAGUGAGAGUGCCAAUAAGUAAAUAUGGUAUGUUGCACUUCAAGAAAACUUAAUAUCUUCAAAUUUUA